GCUAAGAUCAAGUGUAGUAUGUGUUCUUAUCAGUUUAAUAUCUGAUAUGUGGGCCAUCGGCUCACACGAUAUUAACUCUAUUUUUAAGACAGAAAGCCCAUUGAGGUAGCUUGCUACUUGGUCUUUCACGAGUCGCCCAUGCGUUGCACUACUGCACGGGCCUGGCUCAACCCACCAAUUAUUCAGUCAAUUUUGUUCUAUGUUCAAUCUUAAAGUAAGUGGGCUGUUGUGGUCAUUGCAUUUCAAAAUGGAUUGGUGUGAUAUUGUUAAGACAUGAAGGACAUAACUGUGAAUCACAGCGAGAUGCUAAUUCAAAGAGCAGAGUAUAUAUCUAGAAAUUUGUUACCUGCUUUUAUCUUCUCUUGAAGUAUUACUGUAAGAUGAGAGGUUUAUGCUGCUCAGUUCACAGACGUCCAUUGCACUUUUGUUGUAUAAACUGCAGUCUGCAGUUAUAGUGCUCAGUAUGAAUUUAGGUACAGAGACACGGUCAAUAUGAUAUCAAAAACAUGUCGUGGUACCAAAUAAAUAAAUAAUAAUAAUAACUAACUUGGGGAAGUCUAGGCUUAGCAUGUGUUGGUUCGUUGAACAUUCUGGAUGCAGCGUGAGCAAUUGAUUUUUUUUUUUGUAAACUGUGAAUUUUCAUUAUAGAAACUCAAUUGUACUGUUACAAUAGCCUUGAAUACAAGAGAUAACCUUUUGCCACAAAAAAAAAAAAAUUAAAAGACAAAAGAAAUCUGCCAACAACAGGGGCAACGUGAGCAAUUGAUUGUCUUUGAAAAAAAGGCGGUUUGUUCAUAGAUGCGUAAAGAAUCUAAUUUUCUAAAGUCCCACAUCGACAAGUUACAGAGCGUUGGUCAUAACCUUGGUAGUAUAAAUAAGAAGCCGAGCAUUACUUUCAAAUCAUACCUUUCUCGGCUAUUUCUUUUGUCUGAUAUCUGUUCAAAUCAAAUCAAAUCAUAUCUGUUCUUAUCAGUUUAAUAUCUGAUAUGUGGGCCAUCGGCUCACACGAUAUUAACUUUAUUUUUUAAGGGUGAAAGCCAAUUAAGAUAUCUUUCUAGGUGAAAUGUAAAGUUUUGAAAAUAAGAGCCA